rnacentral:lncRNA from 1 species
GAAUUUUUACAUAUAUAUUUUUUCUUUUUUCUUAUAUUAUAUGGUUUUAAUAUGUUUUUAUCUAUUUGUUUAUUCUCUUCUUUUUAUUUACAUAGUCAUAUUCUUUUUUUAUUUAUUAAUUUUAUAUUUUGCGGCAUGAUAACAAUAAUUAUCUAUGUUUUGGUUAUUUUUGCAUAUGCUUAUAAUAAUGAUUUUUUAUUAAGAGUGUCUCAUAUAUUUGUAUGUAUAUUUCGAGUAUUAGAUUCAUUUUGUUUGUCACAUGUUUUAAAUAUAAGGAGUUUAUGUUUAAAUAUGAAAAGACAUUUUAAACAUAUAGAUGAAGAUAAGGACGAUAUUAAUAUAUUUCAAAAUAGUCAUCACCACAGCCAGAAAGAAACAAAUUUUAUUUUAGAAAUGUUAAGUCAGUUUACAAACAAGAGUUUACAAUUAGAUAAAGAAGAUGGAAAUGUAAAAACAGAAGAUGAGCAGAUGAUAUAUUUCUGUGAUGAUACAAAUUCUUUUUUUAACAUACAAGGUGAUUUCGUUUUUUUAUUAAUUAAUUGUUUGUUAUAUUUUGUUAUUUUAUUUUACAAAUAUUUAAACUUAACAAUAAAUAAAGACAAGAAUGAAAAAUGGGAUAUAACGGGAAAGAACGAGUUUAAAAAAAAAUAUAUUUUUUUACUUAAGCAUUUUUAUUUAAUUAAUAAAAAAUGCGACAAUAGAGAGGACAGAGGAAAGAAAAAGCCUUAUAAUUUUAGCAGUGGUACUUUUUGCAAAAAGCUUAAAUCCAUUUUUUUUUUCAAAAAUCAAAAAAAAAAAUCAAACAAACUAUUAUUAGGAGCUAACAAAAGUGAUAUAUACUACAAAUUAGAGGAUGUGAAAAUAGAAAAAAAAAGUGAUAACAAUAAUGAUGAUAGUAAUAAUAGCAAUAGCGAAAACAUUAAUUACAUAUUUAACGAAAAUAUUAAAGAUGUGAAUAAACAAAAGUUGAGCAUUACUAGGAACAUACUUAAACACAAUCCGAAAUAUAUUUUGAAAGAUUUGAAUAUAAAACUACGACCAUAUAAAAUAUAUACAUUUUCUUCUAUAUUUAAUAAUGACUUGAACUUAUUGUAUUUUUUUAAGCAUUUUUUUCCUAAAGGUAGUGGUAAUAAUGGAAAAUGCAAGAAUGGUUAUAUGAGCAGCAAAAGUAACACCAUCUGUACAGUUUAUGACACUUUUUCAGAUAAAAACGAAGACAUAGGUGUAAAUGAUUUUAAAGUUGUUCUAAUGCCUCGAAUGUCCAUAUAUGAGCAUUUCAAAAUAAUUUUAACUUUUAAAAAAAUAAAACUUAACGACAACGAAUUAAUAUAUAUAAUUUACUUAUUCAUGUUACUAGUUAAUUUGAAGUGCAAUAUAUAUAUCAGUUGUAAUAAACUGAGUGGUGGUAUGCAGAAAAAAAUUGCAAUAAUAAUAAAUUUGUUAAAAGCUGACGAUAUUAUUUUGUUGUAUAAACUAAAUGAUAAUAUAGACUUCUGUUCACAAAUUUAUAUUAACUACGUUUUAAAAAAUAUACUGGCACUUAAUUGUGGUAAAUGGGAUGCAGACUCAAGUUGGGGCACUCCGUUGGAAGCAGACCAGCAGUUACCAUGUCGUUUAGAACAUGAAUUGAAGCUGCGAAAUAUUUUGUGCAGAAAAAAAAGAAACGAAUGGAGAAAACUAGCAGAGGUUGUAAAUAGCGACUUAAAAAAAGAGUUACAUAUCGAAUUAGAACAAAUACUUAAAAAAACAAAUGCUAAUAGAAUAAAAAACUCAAUUAAGUUUAAUGACAAAAACAACAGUUAUAAACUUGAGAAAGGAAAAGGUACUGAUUACUUAAUAUCAUCAAAUGUAAAAAGUGUUAAUGUAAAUAUUAUGAAUAGAUUUAUACAAGAUAAAAUUUUAAAAAUAAAAUUUGCAGUUACUAAUUUUGUUAUAUAUAGUCAUAUAUAUACAGAUAUUUUAUAUUAUGAUUAUUUAUAUUUAUUUAAUAAAGACAUGGUUAUAUAUAAAAAUUAUAUGGAAAAUAUUAUUAACAUUUUUAAAAAAUAUCACUCGGUUCAUAUAAAAAUAAAAGGAAUAAAUAAAAAAAAAAUAAAUGAAUAUAUACAAAUGUUUUUUUGCUCAAACGAGCAUGUGUUUAUAAAAUUUAAAAAAGUUGUUGACAAAGUUAGUCGUAAAAGUGCGGGCAUAGUUAGUGGCAAAAACGCUAACAAAAACAAAAAUAACUGCAAAAUAGAAGAAUACAUAAACAACCACUUGGAUGAUAGUAUCACCAUCCAAUACAUUAUAUCAUUUCUUAAAAAGUAUUCAAAAAAAAAGAUACUAAACAGAACUAACAUUUGUUAUAUUUUCAAAGCAUUUAGGAGAAAUAAAAGCAAAAGCGACAAUACUAUUAAUAGUUUUAGAAACCACACAAGCAACUAUGAUAAUAAUAACAGUGUUAGUAAUAAUAACAGCGGUAGUAAUAAUAACANNNNNNNNNNUAAUAACAGUGUUAGUAAUAAUAACAGCGGUAGUAAUAAUAACAGUGCUAGUAAUAAUAACAGCGGUAGUAAUAAUAACAACGGUAGUAAUAAUAAGAACAUAAUAAGCAUUAAAAAGUUUAAGAAAACACUUUUCAACUUAGUUACAGAUCAACAUUCAUAUGUUCAUUUUUAUAUCAACA